GGAGGGAGGGAUGGGUGGAUGGAGGGAUGGAUGGAAGGAUGGAUGGAGGGAUGGAUGGAUUGAUGGAGGGAUGGACAGAUGGAUGGAGGGAUGGACAGAUGGAUGGAUGGAUUGAUGGAGGGAUGGAUUGAUGGAGGGAUGGAUUGAUGGAGGGAUUGAUGGAUGGAUGGAUCGAUGGAGGGAUGGAUUGAUGGAGGGAUGGAUUGAUGGAGGGAUGGAUGGAGGGAGGAAUGGAUUGAUGGAUGGAGGGAUGGAUGGAUGGAGGGCUGGAUGGUGGUGAUGGUUGCACAGUAAAAGCAAUGUACUUAGUAUCAUCAAACUGUACACUUAAAAAUGGUUAAGAUAGUCAAUUUUAUGUUAUGUGUAUUUUACCACGAUAAAAAAAAUUGGCCCCCAAGCCCCACAAUAUAUUAAAAACAGCAAACAUUUAAACUUACCUUCCAGGAACCUCAAAGAUGCACAGACAUGCGGGCCACUUGCUUUUGCCCUUGGACCCACUCGCUGACCUUGCUUUGCUCUUUGCUUCCCAAGGGUGCUGUACUCCCUGGCCUCCUUGUCCCCCAUUUCUGGGCAGUUCUUAAGCAGGCAGUUACCGAGGCAACAGGCAAGAUUACCUGCAGGCGGCUAAGAGCAAGCCAAAUGGGGCCAACAGGUUAGCACAGGGGCCCCGGUCAGUAACGGACGCUCCAGAAAGUGGCUGGGACAGACAUCUGUGGUCACCCGCAGUGGGCAACUUCCUUGCUGAAGGAGGAGUGACUGUUGGAGGAAAAGUCCCAAAGGCCGAGCCAAGAACCAUGUCCUUAUGUUGAACUUUGCUCACUGUAAUAGUGAAAAACACAUGCCUGGGCAGAGAUUUAAAAUGCUAAUGAGACAGGCAAUGUAUGUGCCAGCAUGUACAGUGACGGCCUCUGUAGGCCCAGGAACCCACCCACAACAUGCUUAGUUCCUGCUCCUUCAGGAAUAAUCAUGUGAGACUCCCAUCAAAGGAACUUCCCAGUGCCAGUCUCACUGUCUUAUUCCAGAGCAGCCCGCUCUGACCCAGCUAGUGGUGCACACUUUCGCUUUGCAAUAAACUUCUUUGCCCACUCUUACUUUGGACUUGCUCCCAAAUUAUUUCGUGCACAGAUGUCAAGAACCUGAACAGGCCCACCCACAGCAUCCCUGGCCAAUGGGAGGCCUCAGCAGGACAUGGCAGGCGGGAGAUGUGGGGAGGCCACAGCCUGGUGCUUUUCUGUCUCGCUCCCUCCGGUGUGUCUGGCUUGUCUGGGAGCGUCUGCUGUUACUGAAGUCCCAGCUUUGCCUCCGUCUUUCUCCCUCUAACCCAAGACAAAGAGCAGUGUGCUGGAUUCCUGCUGUUGCUAAAUUCUGGACUGCUCCACGCCCCUGGGUUUGGCUUCUGUGUUCUUCCACCCAUUCUCUGCAUUACAUUUCCUCCCUGUGAAAUGUCUUGAGUCAAUUCUGUCUCUCGACUAGACCACGCCUGCAACACUAACUGUUCCGUUCGGACAGAAGGUUCCUGAGAACACACUGGCGCUGCUGCGCUCCACAGGACUGCUGCUCACAGGGAAAACAGAGACAGAGAUGGAGAAGGAGACUCCUGAGUUCAUCAAGAAACACCUUGAUCCAGCCUUGCUUGGAACGUUGGGGUAGAUGAACAACAGGAGAAUGGACAAGACAUCAUAAAGGCGGUAAUCAUGCUUCCUUCGGCCAGAAACGGUCCCCAUCCCAUCUAUUGAUGAGAACGCAGCCAUGUGACCACAUCUCCUUGCCAGGCAGGCUGGGCAAUGUGGCUUCACCACGUACCAAGGAAGGAGGAGCAGCAACUGGUGAGCAUACAGCGCAGCACCCACUUGUGGUGCCAGACCAUCAGGUAAGGCCAGACACAGCCGGGCAGCCUGGCAGCAAGGACAACGAAACCUGGAGCUGGUUUAUCGGUGACGAGUGGAAUCUGUUUCCUGAAGAGCCUGAGAAGGCAAAGAGCCUCCUCUGCGGGAAGACGGGAGUGAGGGGCUGACUGCCGGCAUUCCAGGACAAGAAAUUCUGCCCCUCCGGGGUGCAUCCUCCUUCUUCCAUUCUCAUGGAAGUGGUCAGCGACGUCAGGAAGCUCACUCCGUGUUUUCCAAGGAAAGAACACUGGUCCUGGAAUCGGCCUGCCUCUGGUUCCAGCAGGCCCGGCCAGGCCAUCCCGGCACCUCCGCUGGCUUCUCCUCCAACCCAUCAGGCUUGGUCAGUCCUUCUCUUCCAGCGACCUCAGAGUGGCAGAGCCAUUGGUGCAGCUAUAAAUGACUGAUGGCCCGGUUGUGUUGGAGGAAUUGUAAACACCAUUCAUAAUUCAUCGGGCGGGCAUGUGCUUUGCAUUUAGAAUGGCUGGUACCCGCAGCCUGCUGCGGAGCUGCAGGGAGACCUGGUGGACGACGUCCCCUGCACCCUCCAGGGCCAGUGGCUCAGCCAGGAUUCAGGGAGGCUCUAGUGGCUGGAUUAACUCAGGGCUUCAAGGCUGGCUUUUCACAGAGCUCCAUGUUUGAGGUAUUAGCUUAUCACCUGUUACUUAAUUUUUUCCUUUCCAUCAACUACCUUAUUUUACAUAAUUCAAUUUUAAAAAGGAAAAUUUGCAUCAUUUUCCAAAAUGAAAAUCAGUAUCUACUGCCCUUAAUAUCCAGUCCCAGCGAGGAGGAGGAAGUGCAUCUCUGAUUGGCUUGAUUUGGUUGUGUGCCCAUCCCUUAUCCAAUCACUGUGAUGAGAGUGUGUGUAACUCUGAUUGGCUUGAUCUGGUCAUGUGGUUACAUGUUAUCCAAUCACUGUGAUGAGGAUGUUUGGGACUAUGAUUGGCUUGAUUUGGUCAUGUGCCCACCUCUUAUCCAAUCACCAUGAUGAGGCUGGGCUGUGUAUGACUCUGAUUGGCCAGUAAUAGGUCACAUGCUCACUGGUGAUGUGACGGGCUGGGUCAAAGUGCAGGUCACUUUCUUCAGGGAAAUCCUGAUGUUGUGACAGGAGGAAGAGGAAGAGGAGGGACAUGUCAAAUAAUAUCGCCCACGGUUCUGUUCUCUAAAUGUUCCUCUUUCUCCCACACUGCUGAGCAGAGCUGUUGAGGUCUGCAAGGAACUGCUGGUGUAAAGUGUGGGAUUGAGCCCCUGUGCUCCCCAGGUGGGCCUUGGUGAGCCCCUGAGUGUGAACACAUGCCUGGGCUGAGCCCCUGAGAGUGAGGCCCUGUGUGUGAACACCUGCUUGGGGUGAGCCCCUGAGAGUGAGCCCCUGUGAACACAUGCCUGGGCUGAGUCCCUGAGAGUGAGCCCCUGUGUGUGAACACAUUCCCGGGGUGAUCCCCUGAGAGUGAGCCCCUGAAUGUGAACACCUUCCUGGGGUGAGCCUCUGAGAGUGAGCCCCUGUGAACACUUUCCUGGGUGAGCCCCUGAGAGUGAACCUCUGUGUGUGAACACCUGCCCGGGGUGAGCCCCUGAGAGUGAGCUCCUGUGUAUGACACCUUCCUGGGGUGAGCCCCUGAGAGUGAGCCCCUGAGUGUGAACACCUGCCUGGGAUGGGCACCUGUCCAGCAUGGGCAUCUGAAUGUGGGCAUGUGAACGUAUGCACCUGAGUAUGAACAGCAUUACCAUACCAUGCUCUCUGAGGAAUUCUCACUGUGAAGUUCCUGGUAAUAAAAGUCAAUCAAAACUCCAUGUUCUAUCGACCCAGCUCCCUCCACAUUCCACAUCUUCUUUCUGGUCUUAAAACAGGAAUUAAAAGAAAUUAAAGAAUGUGUAAGCAGAAACUCAGUUGUAUGUAAGAAAACCCAGGCCGGGCGCGGUGGCUCACGCUUGUAAUCCCAGCACUUUGGGAGGCCGAGGCGGGUGGAUCACGAGGUCAGGAAAUCGAGACCACGGUGAAACCCCGUCUCUACUAAAAAAAAUAAAAAAAAAAAAAAAUUAGCCGGGCGUGGUGGCGGGCGCCUGUAGUCCCAGCUACUCGGAGAGGCUGAGGCAGGAGAAUGGAGUGAACCCGGGAGGCGGAGCUUGCAGUGAGCCGAGACUGCGCCACUGCACUCCAGCCUGGGUGACAGAGCGAGACUCCGUCUCAAAAAAAAAAAAAAAAAAAAAAAAAAAAAAAAAAAAAAGAAAACCCAAUUCCCCUUGAGAAAGAGAAAGAGCUGGAGUCCUUUAAAAAUUAACUGCCUGUUUUUCUGUGGCUAGUGAGCCUUAUCUCUCCUCCCUUCCCAGGCAUUGUGAAGACCCUGUUUCCCUAGCUGUGCAGCUGCAAGGUCACCAGACAGAUAAACUCAAGUCGCAAAACAUGUUUUUCCUUGAAAAGUAAGAAAUGAUGUAAUACAUGUCUCAGUUGAAUAACUGUCUUUGUUUCUCGCUUCUGUAAUAUGCUUCCCCCUGCACAGAUCUCCCCCCCACAACACCCCACCCCAUGAAAUGCUUAAAAGGUAACUUAACUCUUUGUUCAGGGCUCAGUCAUUGGAAUGUUAGUCCUACUGGGCCGGUGUACCUAAAUAAUAAAUAUCCUCCUCAACCCCAUCGGUCUCUGAUUCCUUAUCAAUCCUGCUACAGUCUUAGGCAGAGUCAUCAGUUGGAUAUAAAGUUUCUCGGUCUGUUUUUAGUGAACGUACAUGGAAAACACGUACAGAACUGGAAUCGUGGAAUAACUCACAUGUGGAAUUGAAUCCUAAGCACAAGUUUGGUACCAAGGUCCACACAUGAGGUGGGAAUCAUGCAGCAUGAAGUCCCCUGGGGAGUCCCACACGGACCUGCAUGGUAGCCACUGCCACCUGCCCCACCAGCCCAGCACGGCCGGCUUCACCCUGAUGCUUCUGCAGUUGAGCAGAAGAUGAUGGUGGGUAUGAACUUGGAAGCUAAACGGUCUGGAUUUGCAUCGCUGCACUUCUAUAAGCCCAUCUGUAAAACAGGUUUAUGUGGAUUCAGUAGUUGAAUAUAGGAGAAGCCGUAAGAGGGAUUCUCGGCACUUCAUAAAUUCUCGGACGAUGUUGGAAAUGACGGCAGCGAAGAGCACGAUGAUCACUGUUACAGACUACAGCUUCCCAGCUGGCAAGGUGCCCACACCCCAA
rnacentral:lncRNA from 10 species